CUUCGGCUAUAAAUCUGAUGGAGGGAAGACAUCAACCAGCUGCGAUCUUUUUCUUCGUCCCUUGAUUCAGAAGAUUCCAUUCCAUCCACAGCGUUGCUUUCAGUGGUAUCAACUAUAAAAUUUAUUCUCCUAGUUGUUACUUGAAAUGUUCCUCGCAUAACCAUUAAGGGCCGGACCAUAGAUGAUGGAAGCUCAAGAACAAUCCUUUCAUUAAGGUCACUAGGAACAUAUCCUUGUGCAACUGCUGAUGUACUUUCU
rnacentral:misc_RNA from 1 species